UACGGGGGGGAGCAAGCGUUGUUCGGAUUUACUGGGCGUAAAGGGCGCGUAGGCGGCCAGCACAAGUCAGUUGUGAAAUCUCCGAGCUUAACUCGGAAAGGUCAACUGAUACUGUGCGGCUAGAGUGCGGAAGGGGCAACUGGAAUUCUUGGUGUAGCGGUGAAAUGCGUAGAGAUCCGGAGGAACACCGAAGGCGAAGGCAGUCUCCUGGCAAGUUACUGACGCUCAGGUGCGAAAGGCUAGGGGAGCGAACAGG
rnacentral:rRNA from 1 species